rnacentral:lncRNA from 1 species
GCAAGCCGACCGGACCGGACCCGGUGCGAACGGCGGUAUAGCUGUAGGUGGGAGCAACGUAGGGCAACGAGGCAUAAGGUUCGACGUGUAAACUCUUGUUCAAUAUGUUGCAUUUUGUCGUACAUGUGUCGUACAUUUGAUGUGCAUUUGACGUACAUUUAACGUAAGUUUUGAUGUAAAGUGUUAUAUUCCCCAGUCAAUGUACAACACGUGCACUCGCGGAUCUCAACCUCCGAAACCAGAGAUCG